rnacentral:lncRNA from 1 species
ACAAAAUUGAAUGCUGGGAGAUUCUGUAAUCAAGAUGAAUAGUUUCUCAACAUUAAGGAACUGUGAGGAUGUUGGGCUAGGGCCUGUGUGGCUGUGCCACCAGCAAUCUUUCAACACUGAAAAGGACAAAGAAAAUCCAUUACUCUGUUACAAGAAGAAAGAAUUUCUAUGGCAAAAAGGAUGAUGAGAAGAAUGGCUAAUGGGUUUACAGGAACUCUUAACACAAAGCUGGGUGUUCAGAUACCAAGAGUUUGUAAAAAAAAAAAGAAAAAAAUACGCAAUCCAAGGCAAGCAGUCAAGGACCACAAGACAAUGUGUGUAUGAAGUAAGUCACUGAUACCUGUUUAGGAAUAAUAUGACAAGUUACAAAACAUUCCAUUUUGAGCCUCCUUUGCAUCAAUGAAGAAUCAUGAACUCUUUCCAUUAUAACAUCUUCCUUUUGUAUUCUG